rnacentral:misc_RNA from 1 species
AGCAGCCGCGGUAAUUCCAGCUCCAAUAGCGUAUAUUAAAGUUGUUGCAGUUAAAAAGCUCGUAGUUGAAUUUCGGGAUUGGCGCAUCGGUCGUGCCUUACGGGGUAUGAACUGGUGCAGUCAAUUUCUCACCUUCGGAGAACCGCGAUGUCCUUAAUUGGGUGCCGCGGGG